rnacentral:lncRNA from 1 species
GACAAUGCUCAACACUAUAGAUGGUGUUAGGGAUGAGACUGGUGCAAGCCUCACUUCCUGGGCAACUUGGAUUAGGGGUUGGACUGCCGAAGAAAACAGACACGGUGACCUUCUCAAUAAGUAUCUCUACCUCUCUGGCUGUGUAGACAUGAAGCAGAUUGAGAGAUCCAUUCAGUAUCUUAUCCGCUCAGGAAUGGUAACAUCUGUCAAUCUUUCUUCUUUACUUCCUUAGUGUCGUACCCUUAAUUAUAGGGUAAAUACUUGUUUAGUUCUUAGGAUUUUGGCUAAUAUUACCUACUUAGCUUUUCUAUUUUUAAAAAAAUUAUUCAAACAUUUCUAUGAAUGUUACUUCCAUUUUUAUAGCUGUUGAAUUUUUUGACUGAUAUAUAUAUAUAGGCAAACGAAAAGAUAGAGUAUUAUUAAGUAGAUUUUAAUGAAAACUAGUAUACAAUCGGGAUAUUUUGCACUUUUUUUAAUAAAAAAAUAACUGGUCAAUUGACUUAAACUUUAUGGAUGAAUAAUUUAAAAGAAAAAAAAAUCUAUAAUUAAAAGAGCAUUUUACAUGUACUCAUUUACUCAAAAGUCCAAAAUAUCACUAUUGUUUGUCUGUGUUUCCUGAAUUGUUCUCUGCGUUUAACUUGUUAAAUUUUAGUAAUAUUUUGAGUAAUUUUUUUAAAUAACUACUCUAAAGUGUGAGGACUAAAGACGAAUUUAUCCAUAUACUUUUCAAAAUUUAAUUUGAUGUGAUCUAUUGUAGGACCCUAAAUUUGAAAACAAUCCGUACAAUGGAUUCAUCUACACAUCAUUCCAAGAAAGAGCAACAUUCAUAUCACAUGGCAACACAGCGAGGCUAGCCAAGGAGCACGGGGACAUGAAGCUAGCACAAAUAUGUGGCGUCAUUGCCUCUGAUGAGAAACGCCAUGAACUUGCCUACACCAAGAUUGUUGAAAAGCUCUUCGAAAUCGACCCGGACGACGCCAUCUUAGCAUUAGCAGGCAUGAUGAAGAAAACGAUCAAAAUGCCGGCACAUUUGAUGUAUGAUGGGCAAAAUGAUAAAAUUUUUUAUCACUUCUCAGCUGUUGCACAAAGGCUCGGAGUGUACACUGCCAAGGACUAUGCUGAUAUCUUGGCGUUUCUGAUUGAGAGAUGGGAAGUGGAGAAGUUGAUGGGUCUUACAAGUGAAGGGCGUAAAGCUCGGGAUUUUGUGUGUGGAUUGCCUUCGAGGAUUAGAAGAUUGGAGGAUAAAGCUCAGGCAAAUAUGGCUAAGAAAGCGUGCAGUACUGUUCCUUUCAGCUGGGUUUUUGGCAAAGAUAUAAGGGUUUAAUUAAGGGCUUCUUAUGGCUGUAUGCCUAUUUAUUAAUAGCCAAAUUGAACACUUGCCUUCUAAGCAACUUCUUUUUGUUUUUAUUUUCGUUUAAAGGAUGUUGAGGAUUAGUUUAUUAAUAAAUAUUAGCGAUAGAGGAAUAGAGAGUGCAAUGGAGCUAGCUAGGGGUGGCCGCCUAUGUUUGGUUGGCGAAACCGCGAAAGUACUCACGAGGAGAGUACGAGUCAGGUCGAUUCAAAGACCUAGUCAAGGGGGCGAUCAGCGUAUUCCCGCGAAAGAUCUGGACACGAAGCCCACUCACCAGCAGUUAUGCUACCCACUCAUCAGCAGUUGCAUUUCCCACUCACCCACGAUCGUACAACUGACUAUCGUGGGGGGAGAGAGGAAGUCGGUAAUUCCAGCUGAGUAUAAAAGCCAAGAAGGACGAAGGUAACUAGGUAAGGGGGUUGGACAAUUUUUUACUAGACUUCCACAUAUUUACUCUUGUUAAAAUAUUCGGUGUUUAUUUCCAUCCUUUCUUUUCUUUUCUGAACUUAAAGAUUUUCAACCAAAUUAGUUGUAAUUGAGCCACGAUUGUUUGUGGCAAAAGUUUUCUCCACAAUACCCAAUUAAUGACUUGAGGCGUUGGAGGGUUUUCACCGGAAAAACAUUCGACACCCCUCUAACUGGUUGUUGUGAGCGUGAGUAUUCUCGAGGGAGGUGCUCGUGGUCGCACAUUUCUUCUCAAUAGUGAAACAGCAGAACAAAAUCAUCUCUCCAGCAACUACAAAUUCAAGUGUUGGUGUGACUUUCUGGUCAUUACGCAACUUGACCAGAAUUCAGCAUCAACAUUCGGUUUGAUUUAUAUGGUUCAGUUCAUGAAAUUUAAUAAUUUUUUUCUUUUAUAUGAACCAAAUUUUAUAUUUUCACCAAAAUGGAUUAUAUUUUUUAAGUUCAAUUAAAUUAUAAUUACUAAUCAUUCAUCUUUUAUGCAAAAAUACUAAUAAAAAAUAUUAUUGUAUAUAUAAAUUGAAAUUUUUCUUUUUUUUAAAAAAAAAUUUAACAUUGAACCAAUUAGUUUUUAGUUUGAUUCAUUUCAAAACUAAAAAUCGAUUAGUUCACAUUUCUUAGUUUUGACUAAUCAAAACAAACCAACAUAUCAUUUCAAUUUAGUCAGAGCCGAACCGAAUGCCCACCCUUACUUCACGGAGCUUCCCUUAGUGCUUUUGUGGAGCGAAAUAAGAGUUACCGCAACUCAAUCCUUGCACUCUCAAAAAAAAUAUCAUCAAAAGUAGAGUAAAUGCAAGCAAUUGAAUGUCUCAAUCAAAGACGAGGGAGAGAUGUCUUUACUUAGUAUGUUGUUGGCGAGUUUCAUGGUAUAGAAGAGGCUACCUAUUCCACCAUGUUGCCUGUAUCGUUAAUAAUAAAAAAAGAAAAAUCUCAAAUUUGAACCAAUCAAAUUCGAACCUAAUUUGUUUGAUUAUUGUGAGAGGAAGGCAAUAUUGGCCGAACCUAAUGGCAAAUUCUUGUAGUGACCACAUGCAGGCACGUGUGAAUCUUUUCGUGACCUUAUUAUUAUGUUGCUUUCUAAUUCUAAACAAGGGAAACGGAGCACGCCGCCUGCAUGUGGUCACUACAAGGCAUAUUUCUUUAUUAACCAAAGUUUUUUCAAUUUGUUUGAUUACGCAAAGUUUGUUUAUUUCUUUUCCUCGUUCUAAAAGAGUAAGAUAAGAUAACACAAGGCAUAUUUGAAAUUAACACACAUAAGCACGUGAUAUGUAUGUAUCAUCAAAUAUAGUUUUUUACGUUUUUCUCAAGUUGGCAUACAUAAAAUAGAAACGCAUGUGAAAUAAAUUUCAUGAAAGUGACUCAAUAGCAUACGUAUGUAGCAAUGACACAUUCAUUUCUCACACAUAGGGAUGGCAAUGGGGCGAGGUGGGGGUGGGGAUGCCUACCCCAUUCCCCACCCCAUUAAAAUUUUUUGCCUUCAUUCCCCACCUCAUUCCCCAAUAAAUUUAAUGGGUUGGGAAUGGGAAAUCCCCACGUGGGGAAUGAUUCCCCCAUCUCCACCCCAUUCCCCAUUUACUUAUUUUUUAUAAUAGAUAUAAAAAUAUGAUUUCAAUAAAUUAAAAAUUUUAAAAUAAAAUCAUCACCAGAUUAUAAAGUAUUUAUUUUUUAAAAAAAUCUUUAAAAAUUUGAAACAAUAUCUCAAAAUGAUAUUAAAAGUGAAAAAUAUUUAAAGAGAGCAGUAUCUUAAAAGAGAAAAAAAAAUAAUAAUGUUUUAAAAUUAAAAAAUAUUGUAAGGUUUUCUUUUAUUCAUAUUCUAUUUAUAUUACAUAAAAAUUAAAAAAAUUAUUAAUUGACAUUAUAGUUGAUAAAAUAAAAAUUAUUAAAUAAGAAUUAAAAAUAUAUUUAUAUAUAAUGAGGAUUGGGGUGGGGUGGGGAGUGCAAUACCAAACCCCACCCUGUUAACAAUUUAGGGAUUACUUUUCCCCCAUUCCCCACUCCAUUCCCCAAAAAUUAUUAAAAAUUUUUUUCAUUUGGAGUGAGGCUCCAUGGGGCCCCAAACUCGUGGAGGAUUUUGCCAUCCCUACUCACACAAGUCUGUGAAUAUUAGUGUGAAGUAGGGUGGGCAAAAAAAUCCGGCCGGGCCCAAGAAAAAAAAUCCAGGCCAGGUCUAGGGCAACUAUUUUUUAAAAAUAAAUUUAUAAAUUAGAGUAAUAUAAUUAAAAUUAAAAGUAAUUUAAAAAUAAAAAAGAAAACUUAAAUUCUUAACUUAUAAAUUAAUGAUGAUUCAAAAAAGUUAAAAUUAUAAUACUAAACUUUUUUUUGUGUUAAUUAAUUAAAAGAGCGUUUGAAUUAGAGAAUCCAGUAUUUAAAAAAAUUAAAAUUAUGAGCUUCUAUUUGAUUUAUUUAUUAUUUUACUUUAAAAUAUUUAUUUUUUUUAAUUUACCUGUAAUUAUAAUAACUUAUUAAUUAUUAAUUUUUUUCAAACCUACAACAAUUAAAAAAAUUUUAAAAAAUAAAUAAAGUCCAAAUGCAGCCGAAGCCCUCUCGCUAAACGUAAAGUGCGUUUGGGCCUGAACUUAAAAACAUCCGACCCAAACCUACUGUUUGCCAUCCUGAAGUGUAUCGAUUUCAACUGUCUCUAUGAGAUCCUAUGCAUAUGCCGGCUAAUUAAGGGCGAUAAUUCAUAUCUUAUACUUGUUCAAAAUUCUCAACUUGAGAAGGUGUCUCAUCGAACAAGCGUCAAUUGGACAGCAGGAUUAGUCGCGGUAGGUGUGGUGCAUGCUUUGGACUUUGGACUCUGGGAGGGUCCAGUUGUUGGGUGUGGGCCAACCUAACACAGCUUGGCUGGGUAUAACUUAGUGGAUGAUUUUAUCAUUUUCUUUAAAUAAACUAGUUGAUGAAUAAGAACUCAAAAAAAAAAAAAAAAGACCACUUUUUUCGUUCAAUUUUUUGUUAUUGAAAUAUAAUUAUAUUGAUAUUGAGAAGGUAUUAACCACUAGGUAAAUAUUCUUAAUAAGAUGAAAUUGUAAGGUAAUAUAAUAUUAAUUAAUUAAUUAGUAAAUAAUAAUAAUAAUAAUAAUAAUAAUAUAAAAAAAAAAGGCAGCGACCACUGCUACUGGUAGUAAGCACAAAAGCAGACGAAAACAAAAGGAGGUUCGGCUAAUGGCCUAAAGCAAUGCAUUUUGCAAAAGGACCCACGGGAGGACGCACGUAGCGAGUGGGCCAUCUCAAAUAAUCAAACAAAGCGACAAAAUCCACGUUUCGCUUCCUCAAGAUUCGACGGGAGAUCGCCAUUUCCUUUCUUUACCCCCAAUGUUUCCCAUAUAUUACCAUAAGAAGGACAGAUGGCAGGUGUGAAAUUGAAACCAAAAAGCAGUGGCGUCUAAGAAGAAGCUCUUUUCUUAACGCCGCUGCCUUUUGCCAGCCUUUUGUGCGCUUUGUCUUUUGCUAUAUAAUAAACAAUCGAAAAGCAAGUAACGCAAUUCCCUCUGCAUUGCCCUUUUAGCCUUCUCUUCGUGUUCGGUUUCAUUUCUCCCUGUUUUGUCUUGGCCAUUUCUUUGACACAUACGUACGUAAAUUAAACUUUAUUUUUUUUUUUUUUCAAAAUAUCAUCGUCAUCUUCUUCGAUAAAAACGAUAUCUUUUGAAAUAAACAUUUACAGCAAUGGCUUUGAAACUGAAUCCAACAACAUUCAGCUUCCCGUCGUCAUCAUCAUCAAUCCGCAAACACAGAUGUUCAAGAGUCUUCAUGGCAUCCACUCUUCCUCCUGCUAUCACCAAGUCAGUAUUUUUUUUUCUUUUAAUUCCUCAUUUGCAUUUUAAUUUGGCAUGAACACGAUCAAAUAUUCGUAUUGUUAUUUUUCUUUAUCAUUAUACUGAUCUGGGUUGUUUGUGUUUUAUUCAAAAUGUUUUUUUUUCCACUUCGUGGGUAUCAGUUAUUGGAUUACGAACUGUUUCUUGAAUGAUUUUAUUGAUCUGGGUUUUAGUAUUUACUAUUUAGUGCUAUGUGAGCUUGAUAUUGCUUUAAAUCAUUCGUGUCUUUUCCCUGAAUUGUAUUUGUCUUUUUGUGUAAGAUCAUUGAGAUUUUUUAGGGUCGGGUCGAUUCUAUUUUGCUUUUGCAUUGGGAUUUGAUUCUUGCAUGUGGCUUCAAAUGGACGCCCUGUGUUUCUGCGUCCCUGUUUCUGGAUGAUGAUGGAAUUCAUUUUUCUGCUGUUCUAGCCCGGCAUCAUUUAUUUAUUUAUUUUUGUAUCUUGUUCAAUGUUUGCUGAAUUUUAUAUCUCUUGAUAUUGUAAGGGGUUUUUUAUAUGCCUUGUUGCAUGUGGGCCUUUCUGUUUGUCUUUUUUUUAUUGUGGGGACUAUUUAUUUAUUUAUUUUUCAUAGAUCAGAGUUAGGUGCAGUUUUGUGAGUUAACUUAUUCUUUUGGAACUUGGUCGUGUUGGUUGACUGGCUUUAUAUCUAUGUAUAUGUGGGCAAGAAUUCAAUUAAUCUAUUGUCAAUUACUCUUUGGUGGGAAAUACAUGCUUGUUUCAGUGUAGUGCAAAUUUUUCAUUGGAACUUGCUUGUAUUAUAUGAGGCUCUAUCAUUGCAUAGAGAUUCUAAUUUCCUUUCAUCUCGUUUGUAGCUAUUUCCAUCACUCACUCAAUUUGAAGAGUAAUUUGUGAUAACACAAGGUUUUGUUGGCUACUUUAGCAGCUAAGGAAAGGACUUACGAAUUGCUUACCAUUUGUCACACUUCUUAUUGCCAUCAUGUGUAUUAAGGGAAAAAAAAAAUCAGCCCUUUUCCCGUAUGAUAUAGGUGGUACAUAUGUAUUUUAAUAUAAUUGUUUUAUUGUAUUACAAUUUCCUCAACUCUAUAGAUGGCCAGGGUAUUAAUAUAUGGUUGUGAAACUUCCCUGUUUAGCUUAUACCAGUUUUUUUGUAUUUGGUUACUAAAUCCUUGACUUUGCUGUCAAUAUGGUAGUAGUUGGUGUUUAUAUGACGCCUUGGAUGUCCAUUUUUUUUUUUUUCAAUCAUCCCUUAUCUAUUGCUGCUCAGCCUGUUCCAGAAGACAUAAAUAAUAAUAAUAAUUAAAAAAAAUGAAAUAAUCUGUUUUUUGUUCCCUUUUGUUUGCACCAAUUAUUGUUCUAUUUCCCUGGGUAAAAGCCUCUUAAACCCCCUCCUAGUGAAAUAUAUUUCUAACUUUCAAUUAGAAACUUCAUUUAUGCUUUUUUUGCUGUGUUCUGCUGGUUACAGAGAGGUUGGGAAUCUUAAGAAGCCGUAUUGCCCUCCAAGGGAGGUACACGUUCAAGUAACUCAUUCUAUGCCACAACAAAAGAUGGAGAUAUUCAAAUCUUUGGAGGGUUGGGCUGAGGAGAAUAUCUUGGUGCACCUAAAGCCUGUUGAGAAAUGCUGGCAACCCAUGGAUUAUCUGCCGGAACCUGAAUCGGAAGGAUUUUAUGAGCAAGUCAAGGAGUUGAGAGAAAGAUGCAAGGAAAUCCCUGAUGACUAUUUUGUUGUAUUGGUUGGAGAUAUGAUCACAGAAGAAGCCCUUCCUACUUACCAGACAAUGCUGAACACCCUAGACGGGGUUCGAGAUGAGACUGGUGCAAGCCUCACUUCUUGGGCAAUUUGGACUAGGGCUUGGACUGCUGAAGAAAACAGGCAUGGCGACCUUCUCAAUAAGUAUCUCUACCUAUCUGGACGUGUAGACAUGAAGCAAAUUGAGAAGACAAUUCAAUACCUGAUAGGAUCAGGAAUGGUGAGAUUCUCCUUUCCUAUUACUAAAUUCUAUAUAAGAGGACAAGCUUCUUCUGUUGUCUAUGCUUUGCACUUGAUUUUUCAGUAUUUAUGAGUUUGUUGUUUUCUUAGGAUCCUAAAACAGAAAACAACCCCUACCUUGGUUUCAUCUACACUUCAUUCCAAGAGAGGGCAACAUUUAUCUCC